GACGAACGCUGGCGGCGUGCCUAAUACAUGCAAGUAGGACGCAGUUGCGAACGGGAGAGUAACGCGUAGGUAACUGCCUAUUAGAGGGGGAUAACUAUUGGAAACGAUAGCUAAUACCGCAUACUAGUAGAUGGACCUGCGUUGUAUUAGCUAGUAGGUAGGGUAAUGGCCUACCUAGGCGACGAUACAUAGCCGACCUGGGAGGGGGAACGUGAACACUUGGACUGAGACACGGCCCAGACUCCUACGGGAGGCAGCCGUAGGGAAUCUUCGGCAAUGGGGGGAAACCUGACCGAGCAACGCCGCGGGAGUGAAGAAGGUGUUCGGAUCGUAAAGCUCUGUUGUUAAGGAAGCGGUACUUAACCAGAAAGGGACGGCUAACUACGUGCCAGCAGCCGCGGUAAUUC
rnacentral:rRNA from 1 species